GACGAAGGAUGCAAGCGUUAUCCGGAAUUAUUGGGCGUAAAGAGCUUGUAGGCGGUUUGUCGCGUCUGCUGUGAAAUUUCGGGGCUCAACCCCGAACUUGCAGUGGGUACGGGCAGACUAGAGUGUGGUAGGGGAGACUGGAAUUCCUGGUGUAGCGGUGAAAUGCGCAGAUAUCAGGAGGAACACCGAUGGCGAAGGCAGGUCUCUGGGCCACUACUGACGCUGAGAAGCGAAAGCAUGGGGAGCGAACAGG
rnacentral:rRNA from 1 species